UACGAAGGGGGCUAGCGUUGUCCGGAAUUACUGGGCGUAAAGCGCGUGUAGGCGGUCCGUUAAGUUGGUAGUGAAAUCCCAUGGCUCAACCAUGGAAGUGCUGCCAAAACUGGCGGGCUGGAGUGCCGGAGAGGGUGGCGGAAUUCCCAGUGUAGAGGUGAAAUUCGUAGAUAUCGAGAGGAACACCUGCGGCGAAGGCGGGUUGCGUGGGCUGACACUGACGCUGAGGCGCGAAAGCUAGGGGAGCGAACGGG
rnacentral:rRNA from 1 species